CAACUCCGAGGCUCCCGGGCUUCACGAGGACGCAUUUGCAGCCCCCUCUGCCUCUCCUCUCGGGUCGCGGAGGCGAAGGAGCCGCCUUGCUGGGGCUUCGUGGUGGUGUAUUUCAUAUUGGGGCUCUUUUCGGGGUUUGUAAUUUGGCCGUGGGUAGGUAAUUGGCUGGAGCAGGGCGGCAGGGCGCGGCAGCCAAUCAGCGCGCGGCUUCUAUAGGGCUUGAGUUAUUAGACGCUGAUCUCAAAACAUCGUUCAUCAGACACCAAGGAGAGGCCAACAGAUGAGGGGAGCCAUUUUUCUGCAAUGGAAUUAAAUGGCCAAGUGGGUUUUUCCUUUGUUGCAAAUGGGGAAUGUUUUUCCUUUGACUCCACCAUCCAGUUCAGGACGCCUCAGUGUUGUGUUUAACAUUUGUCAACAGGCUAAAGGACUCACAAUUGGAAGAAUGAAGAAGACUUUUUAAAAAGAUCUGGAUUUUUCCUUAUGACUUGGAAUCCAUCUUUGUCUUGUAUAACUAGGUCAUAGCACACCAUUAAUGUCAGCAGUUAACAAUUUUGAAUUCCAAAAAACCUAAGUAAAUGACAUAUUUAAUUUUUUUUCCUUUUUUUUCUUGGGUGGGUGGGGGGAGCUUGGAGCUGUCUUAAUCUGUAUUCUCUUGACUGACUGAACAAUAAAUUUUUAAAUAUAUAUAGUUUCCUCUAUUAAGCACUUAAACCUGGCCAUCUUAUUAACUCCUUCUGCUCUCUUUUUAACAAGGUAAUGUUUUAAAUGUAUAGUUUUAGGACUAGCGAAAUGGCAGCAACAAAAAAUUGUAAGCAGUUGUUACUCUUAAGUUUUUAAAAACCUUUUACAUUGUAAGUACCCAAUCCAUUGUGUCCUUACGCAGUGCAGUUUCUAUGUAAAUGUUGCUGAGAUGUCCUUAAUUUUCUGAACCUUCAUCUGCAUGUAUGUCUUUGUCGCUUUUGUCUAAUAUAAGCCAGUUAAAAUGCUUUUAGACGAUUUUGCUUUUUAGAAAGCUAAGGUUUUAGCUUUAAGCUUUUGAAAAUGUUUACAGCCAUAAAUGCUAGUCAGCUUUCUUCCCAGUAACAUGUACACUUUCUUUGAAAAUCGAUCUAUUUGAAGAAAAACAGCUCUGUUUUUCUCGUCUUGGUAGGGGAGUGGGUGAGGGAAAGGAAGACCUUCUCUUUGUGUACAGAGACUAAAGCCGUCACAGGAAACUAGAUUAAAACUGGAAAACAAGUCCUAGCUGGUUCGAGCCAAACACCAACGUUAACUCGCGGGUAUUUUCUAUGGUGGUUGGGAUGGCCGUGCGUCUUUUGCCUUUUGUUUGAUUUGACUGUGUAUUUUCGCCUUUUGUCUCUUAAUGACGAUCACACCAUUGCUAUAUCCAGAGCAGUAAACAGUCCUCAGCGAAGCCGCCUUUUGCCAACCCAACCCUGGAAAGUUUGCAGAAGUGGAAGGAGCAGAAAAUGCCAUGAGAGUGUAACUUACAAAAAGGUUGAUCUUCCAGACUCCAUGGCACCGGGCUGAGCGGGCUCUUGGCUGGAGGACGGGCAACCGCCCGGUACCCCCAGAGUGAACCACCCUCCUUUGGACAGCAGGAGCAGGCCUGAUUUCACUCUGACAAUAAGGGUCCCGCCUCUUCCGGCCCAUCCGCCGAGAGCCCCAGCCAGGAAUACGACCUUUUGGACCCUCUGGGUGGAGACUCCCUCUGCCUGGACCGUGGCUAGAGGCACCCCGCCAUCUUGGAGGUUUCCUGGGUCCAGCGCUGUCUCCAACCGGCCAGUGACCUCAGCGAGUCCCCGCCCCUACGGGAGCUGAGGUCUCCCCAUGUGAACCAGGAGGAAGAAGGUGGAUGAUGACCUUUUGAGCUGUUUCCGGGUCCGGCUUUGUGAGGAGAGCUUUUUGUGUCUCAGCAUGACCUCCCCAGCAGCACCACCAGGUACUGAGCCCUGGAGAGAGUCCUUGACUCCCAGGCUAUACCCCUGGCCACCUUCCAUCGCCAGUACCUCAAAGAAUAGUUCGGUGUCUUCUGUCUCCUCUAGGGUGGAUGACUCCUCAGGUGUGAGGUGACCUUCUAGGAUGUUCUGAGGUACCAGGGAAGUAGAAGCUGGAAGAAUUGUCAUUACCUGCUCCAUCCUGUGCUGAUCAGACUUUGACAAGACAGGAAUGGAUCUGGCCCUUAGUUCUCUCCUGGGCCCCGCUGGCCUUAAACUCUAGCACAGGCCAAGUGAGUUUACCCCACAGAUGCAUGCUGGCCUGCUCCCCUAGGCCUCGGUGUCCAACAGUUCUGUGUUAAGAUCCAACGUACAGACUCUUUCUUGUUUUCCUAAACCUCUCCGGGAAUCCCUGGUGACUAGAAGGUGAAUGACUUGGGUCCUCAGAACCGCUCACAGAGGGAGCAGGGCUCCCCUGGCGUGUGGACAGGCACAGCUCCUCAGCCGGCCUGCCCUGGCCCAGCUGCCUCUGAGGAAGCUCUCCGCAGCUGGCCUGGCUCCUGGGUAUUUUUAGGUACAGAUCCAGCCCCUACACCACCACUGGAGCCGGGUCCAAAUCAAACACACUCCAGGCCGUGUGGGGCUGCGGUUGUGCCAGCCUCUUGGCGAGGCGGGGGU